rnacentral:rRNA from 1 species
UACAGAGGUCUCGAGCGUUGUUCGGAUUCAUUGGGCGUAAAGGGUGCGUAGGCGGCGCGGUAAGUCGGGUGUGAAAUCUCGGGGCUCAACCCCGAAACUGCACUUGAUACUGCCUUGCUCGAGUACUGGAGAGGAGAUUGGAAUUUACGGUGUAGCAGUGAAAUGCGUAGAUAUCGUAAGGAAGACCAGUGGCGAAGGCGAAUCUCUGGACAGUUACUGACACUGAGGCACGAAGGCCAGGGGAGCAAACGGG